CUGCUACUGCUGUGAAGCCCAGUAAUGCAAAGCUGUCCCAGACAGACGGUGUCAAUAGUGGCGCUACACAAUGGCAGCAGACUGGGCAAGCUGUCCACAUCUGAUUGCCAGUGAACCCAGCUGACACACUGAAGGAACCACUUUCACCACAGUGUUACCUCAGCUGUGACACAGAAAGUGCAGAAAGCUGUUGUUCUGAUUGUACACAACACCACUAUCGGGGUUGAUCAUUAUCUGCUAGUCUUGUGUAGCCAGACGAGACGCUGUACCCUCGCAUUUGGUCUGCAUCCUGGCUAGAAGAACUUGGAAGCCUGUCACACGAGGCUACUUGUCUGCUAACCAAUGAGGGGAAGCCACCCACUGAAAUCUAUACUGGCCAUUGACGGAAUAAACUACUAUACAAUUUAAUAAAAAAAUUGGUGCUCCUGGACCACCAGGGAUGCCCGGGCCUCCAGGAAGAACUGGGAGUGAUGGGAUUGAUGGUAUAAAUUCUGAUGAUGGCUCUGCAGGACCACCUGGGGAACAGGGUCUCCAGGGUUACAGAGGAGAGAAGGGCAGCAAAGGGGAGCUGGGGUUAUGAGGGGGAACCAGGACCCCAGGGAAAC